rnacentral:lncRNA from 1 species
UUGCUGUUGAGAUUUCUUUCAUCACUUGAAACUGUUUUUGUUUUUGUUUUUUUUUUAAAGAAAUGAUGGAAGCACAAACCAGUCUGGAAAAAAACCCUGAGACAAUGAUGUACCUACUUUUAUUGGAAAAUGACAAGGACAAAGAUACUUCUACACCAUCUGUCUCCAGUAUUUCCAAUUUUGAAAUGUUGGACAAAGAAGAAACCACCC